UACGGAGGGGGCUAGCGUUGUUCGGAAUUACUGGGCGUAAAGGGCGCGUAGGCGGGCAUUCAAGUCGGGGGUGAAAUCCCGGGGCUCAACCCCGGAACGGCCUCCGAUACUGGGUGCCUGGAGGACGGAAGAGGCGAGUGGAAUGCCGAGUGUAGAGGUGAAAUUCGUAGAUAUUCGGCGGAACACCGGUGGCGAAGGCGGCUCGCUGGUCCGUUUCUGACGCUGAGGCGCGAAAGCGUGGGGAGCAAACAGG
rnacentral:rRNA from 1 species